AUGAAGUUUUCGGAUGGAAUUCUGUAUAACCUAGUGGCGGACGGGUGAGUAACACGUAUCCAACCUGCCUUUCAGAGGGGGAUAACAUUUGGAAACGACUGCUAAUACCGCAUAACACAUAGGGGUCGCAUGGCCUUUAUGUCAAAGAUUUAUCGCUGAAAGAUGGCCUCGCGUCUGAUUAGCUAGUUGGUGAGGUAACGGCCCACCAAGGCGACGAUCAGUAGCCGGACUGAGAGGUUGAACGGCCACAUUGGAACUGAAACACGGUCCAAACUCC
rnacentral:rRNA from 1 species